UACAUAUGGGGCAAGCGUUGUUCGGAAUUACUGGGCAUAAAGGGUGCGUAGGUGGUCUAUUAAGUCAGGGGUGAAAUCCCCGCGGCCCAACCGUGGAACUGCCUUUGAUACUGGUGGACUUGAGUGCGUGAGGGGUAGGGGGGAACGAGCAGUGUAGCGGUGAAAUGCGUAGAUAUUGCUCGGAAGGCCAGAGCCGAAGGGGCCCUACUGGUACGUAACUGACACUGAGGCACGAAAGCGUGGGGAGCAAACAGG
rnacentral:rRNA from 1 species